rnacentral:rRNA from 1 species
AUUGAACGCUGGCGGCAGGCCUAACACAUGCAAGUCGAACGAGUGGCGGACGGGUGAGUAAUGUCUGGGAAACUGCCUGAUGGAGGGGGAUAACUACUGGAAACGGUAGCUAAUACCGCAUACCAUCAGAUGUGCCCAGAUGGGUUUAGCUUGUUGGUGAGGUAACGGCUCACCAAGGCGACGUUCCCUAGCUGGUCUGAGAGGAUGACCUGUCACACUUGAACUGAGCCACGGUCCGGACUCCUACGGGAGGCGGCGGUGGGGAAUAUUGCACAAGUUGCGCAAGCCUGAUGCAGCCAUGCCGCGUGUAUGAAGAAGUCCUUCGGGUUGUAAAGUACUUUCAGCGGGGAGGCGUUACCCGCAGAAGAAGCACCGGCUAACUCCGUGCCAGCAGCCGCGGUAAUAC